AUUGCCAAUCAGAAACACCGGUGACUUACACUACGUUUCUUUCUGUUAUUAGGAGGUUGCGUCUGUUUGAUGAAGUAAACAAUACGUCUCCUUGCUAGACCAGACAAAGCACAAAAGGUGCACACACAGGCAUGAAACCCGACUCGCCCUACCAUACUAAAAUAAGGACUUCUUUUUUCUUUCUUUUUUUUGAAAUAAAAAUGGGGACUUCACUGGAAAACUAGUUAAACUACAAUAAACAAAAACUACAAGACCCUUAAAAGCCAUGGACGUAAAUCCCAAGCCCAAAGCCCAAUCCAAGGGACAAUGAGAAUCGUAGCCAAUCCCAAAUGCUGCACAGCCACCACAAACUUAGCACCAGUACCACCACCUCUGCCACACCACCAUCUCGUCUAACCGCCACCAUCGCGCCACCACCUCCAUCACGUACACCAACAAAAGGCCUCCUGCAUCACGGCGGUGAACCUACCCAGAUUCGGAUCCGGCUGACAACUAGAUCCAAACCAAAAACAAGUUAACCAGCACAUCAACCACGGGAUCACUCGAUCCCAGCCUCACCUUUGCCAGCCCGCCGCAACAAAACGACUGGAAGAAGACGUCGUGCAGCACCGAAUUCAAACUCCAAAUUCGAGUCCACCUCCGCCAAUCUUGCUGCUUCAACCCUAUCCUCCUCCUGCUUCAGUCAUGCAAAUUCCAAUUAUCCAAAGUCAAGAAAGUUAUGACUCCGAUCCCAUCACCAGUAUAGUAUAGGACCGAUUCAAUUGUCAACCAUUCUCGAUCUUCCAGUGCAAAUCGGUAGGUUGAAUUAAUCUAAAGCUGAAGCAUCGGCAAUAUAUAUGGUAAUGGCAAUGCCAUUGUUGAUAUUGAUUUGGUGACCCAGAGCCAUAUCAAAUCGUUAUGGGCACCAGAAGAGCUUCCAGUCAAGAACAGAAAAUCCACUGCCAUAUUAUCUAUGCUUUGGUGGUGGAGAAAGACUUGCGUGGGGCACCCGCACCGCCACGUGGUGCUGCAGACCAAUCACUGUUCAGCAUGAGAUCUUGUAGGUAUUGUAUAUUUAAAAAAUAAGGGCAGUUUCAUAAAAGAUCUUGUAGGGUCGGGCCGGAACUGGAAGUCCGACUUACUGUUGCUUGUCAAUUAUUAGGUUUUGAAA